CUACUUACCUAGCAGGGUAAAUACCAUUAUCACAAAGGUGGUUUUCCCAGGGCGAGGCUUGUGCAUUGCAUUCUGAAUGACACCCGUGAUUUCCACAAAUGUGGGAAAUUCAACUGCAUCAUUUGUGGUAGUGGGGGAUUGUGUUUGAACUCAUUCCUG
ensembl:snRNA U1 U1 spliceosomal RNA